rnacentral:sRNA from 1 species
GGAUGCAAAAGUCGUAACACGGUUUCCGUAGGUGAACCUGCGGAAGGAUCAUUCACACAUUGAUUGUGCGUCUCCAAGCGAUUUCAUCAUCAUUGGCGAAUAGCUUAUUGGAAGCGUUUUGCGAUGUUGGAAGCCUGCUUUUGGGGAUCGCCUACUAACGAACGUAAAUCAAUCCUUGAAUCUCUGUGUUUUUUCCUCCACAACGUUCUUUGUAGAAGGUGAAAGAAGUGUUUUUUUAUGCUUGCACCUCUCCUCUCUGUUUUUGCAUGCUGUCGCAUGCGAUUUGGAACGGGGGGGGGGGGGAGUUAGCGCAUGUUUAAGGCUGUGGUGGGGCUGUUAAGGGCUGCAUGCAGCAUGCAUGCAUGCAUUGGCGUGGCUUGUGUAUGUAUGAUGUGUAUGCAUGUCCUAAAUAGAUCACACAGCAGCGUUUGUGCGCUAUUUAAUGCAAAAAAGAAGCAAUUUGCUUAAAAAAACUUUCAGCAAUGGAUGUCUUGGCUCACGCAUCGAUGAAGGACGCAGCGAAAUGCGAUACGCAUUGUGAAUUGCAGAUUUUAGUGAACCAUCAGAUUUCUGAACGCAUAUGGCGCUGCCGGGAUUUCUCGGCAGCACGUCUGUUUCAGUGUCUUUUGAUCUCUUCUAUAAGUAUACUUACCAACAUUGGAAGGGCACAGUUUAAUGAUACUGUGCGCGUUGAAUGUGUGGUUGGUAUCAUUUGCACGUCGCAGUAUUUUUAUAUAAUUGCGUCGUGUGAAGAUUUGUUUUGGAGUCACCACAAGUACAUAUUAUUAUGUAUGUGUGCUGACAAGCAUGAAGAUUGAUAUGGUGUUAUCCUUUCGUUCAUGAAAGAGAUACGGUGGUUUAUUAUUAAGCUGCUGAUAUGUAUCUCAUCAAUAAUGGACGAUUUAAGCAUGCAUAUAUUGGGUGUGUUGUAUAGGAAGCCUAUUUAUGCAUGUGUGGGAUAAUAAUUUAUUAUCAAUUAUGCUUGAUGAGGGAUAUAUUCCAAAAUAUUUCCAAGAUAUAAACAUAUAUAUAUCUAGACCUGAAAUCAGUCGAGGUUACCCGCUGAAUUUAAGCAUAUUAUUAAGCGGAGGA